rnacentral:rRNA from 1 species
GAUAAACGCUGGCGGCGUGCUUAACACAUGCAAGUCGAACGAAGUUUUUCUUUCGGGAGGAACUUAGUGGCGGACGGGUGAGUAACGCGUGGGUAACCUGCCCUGUACAGGGGGACAACAGCUGGAAACGGCUGCUAAUACCGCAUAAGCCCUUAGCACUGCAUGGUGCAUAGGGAAAAGGAGCAAUCCGGUACAGGAUGGACCCGCGUCUGAUUAGCCAGUUGGCAGGGUAACGGCCUACCAAAGCGACGAUCAGUAGCCGAUCUGAGAGGAUGGACGGCCACAUUGGGACUGAGACACGGCCCAGACUCCUACGGGAGGCAGCAGUGGGGAAUAUUGCACAAUGGAGGAAACUCUGAUGCAGCGACGCCGCGUGAGUGAAGAAGUAUUUCGGUAUGUAAAGCUCUAUCAGCAGGAAAGAAAAAGACGGUACCUGACUAAGAAGCACCGGCUAAAUACGUG